rnacentral:rRNA from 1 species
ACGCUGGCGGCGUGCCUAAUACAUGCAAGUCGAACGGUCUUUCUAUGGAAGCUUGCUUCCACUGAGAAGAUAGUGGCGAACGGGUGAGUAACACGUGGGUAACCUGCCCAUAAGAGGGGGAUAACAUCCGGAAACGGGUGCUAAUACCGCAUAGUUUUCUUGAUCACAUGAUUGAGAAAGGAAAGACGGCCUUUGUGCUGUCGCUUAUGGAUGGACCCGCGGCGUAUUAGUUAGUUGGUGAGGUAACGGCUCACCAAGACGAUGAUACGUAGCCGACCUGAGAGGGUGAUCGGCCACAUUGGGACUGAGACACGGCCCAAACUCCUACGGGAGGCAGCAGUAGGGAAUCUUCCGCAAUGGACGAAAGUCUGACGGAGCAACGCCGCGUGAGUGAAGAAGGUUUUUCCGGGAUCGUAAAACUCUGCUGUCAGAGAAGAACAAGUUGGAGAGUAACUGCUCCAGCCUUGACGGUAUCUGACCAGAAAGCCACGGCUAACUACGUGCCAGCCGCCGC